rnacentral:rRNA from 1 species
CCUACGGGAGGCAGCAGUGAGGAAUAUUGGUCAAUGGACGAGAGUCUGAACCAGCCAAGUAGCGUGAAGGAUGACUGCCCUAUGGGUUGUAAACUUCUUUUAUAAAGGAAUAAAACGAGGCACGUGUGCCUUUUUGCAUGUACUUUAUGAAUAAGGAUCGGCUAACUCCGUGCCAGCAGCCGCGGUAAUACGGAGGAUCCGAGCGUUAUCCGGAUUUAUUGGGUUUAAAGGGAGCGUAGAUGGGUUGGUAAGUCAGUUGUGAAAGUGUGCGGCUCAACCGUAAAAUUGCAAUUGAUACUGGCAGUCUAGAGUACAGUUGAGGUAGGCGGAAUUCGUGGUGUAGCGGUGAAAUGCUUAGAUAUCGCGAAGAACCCCGAUUGCGAAGGCAGCUUACUAAACUGUGACUGACAUUGAUGCUCGAAGGUGUGGGUAUCAAACGGGAUUAGAUACCCUGGUAGUC